rnacentral:misc_RNA from 1 species
UAAAAUUCAAAGGCAUUAGAAUUCAAGGACAAGGGAGGCAGGAGAAUCAAAUGGGGGGACAUUGAUUACCAUUGAAACCAAUCUAAAUCCCCAAACCCUCAUGAGAAACAUUUCAUCGAUGAAACAAUGAAUUGACAAACAGAAACUAGUAGUAGUAGCAGAAGAAAAGAAAUCUAAGAAAAUAAAUAAUUUAUUUUAUAUCAAUGCAUUACAUUUCUAACUGUUCACUACACAUUCAUUCAUUAUCAGGAAGAGCUUUUUUCUCUCCUAAAGAAAUUAACCAAGGUUAUUGAAUCAAAUAGCAUUGAGAUCAUACAAAUAAAGUCAACAAAGGUAAAAUCCAUGGACUUAAAUUGUGGUCACAGUCACAUUUGCGGCAUGGUUUAUUUACUGAUUUUUUAAGGGGUCGUUACCCUUUAUCCCAUUAUUUAAAGACAAAUGCUGAGUUGCAUUGGUAAUGACCGUUACCCUUCUUACACAAUAGUAACGGCUGUUAUUUAUCGUUAAGUAACGGUAACGACCAUUACCUCAAUAACUCAGUUGGCAAAUAAUAUAGGCAUGCAGUGUUUUCUUUAAUUUUUUUUUCAUUCUCAGUGUAUUCCAGCCUUCCAACUACUUUUUUAUCACAAUUUCUCUCAAAAUUUCACCUAAAC